UGGGGAAUCUUGGACAAUGGGCGCAAGCCUGAUCCAGCCAUGCCGCGUGAGUGAAGAAGGCCUUCGGGUUGUAAAGCUCUUUUGUCAGGGACGAUAAUGACGGUACCUGAAGAAUAAGCCCCGGCAAACUUCGUGCCAGCAGCCGCGGUAAUACGAAGGGGGCUAGCGUUGUUCGGAAUUACUGGGCGUAAAGCGCACGUAGGCUGACAUUUAAGUCAGGGGUGAAAUCCCGAGGCUCAACCUCGGAACUGCCCUUGAUACUGGGUGUCUCGAGUCCGGAAGAGGUUAGUGGAAUUCCCAGUGUAGAGGUGAAAUUCGUAGAUAUUGGGAAGAACACCAGUGGCGAAGGCGGCUAACUGGUCCGGUACUGACGCUGAGGUGCGAAAGCGUGGGGAGCAAACAGG
rnacentral:rRNA from 2 species